AGGUUAUGGGGCUAGGUAAGGUUUAAGGUUUUUGGCGUGAGGGUUAAAAUCACUGUCCAAAACCUUUGUAGGAACUCUUUUCCAACCUUUUGGAGUUAGUUAGACCAAAAAAAAAAUGAAAAAUGAAAAAACAAUAUUUGGGGUGUUCAAGCUUCCUGAAGGUAAUACCCGGGUAUUAGGUUAUGGGGCUAGGGAAAGGUUUAAGGUUUUUGGCGUAAGGGUUAAAAUCACUGUCCAAAACCUUUGUGGGAACUCUUUUCCAACCUUUUGGAGUUAGUUAGACCACAAAAAAUGAAAAUAAAAAAAAAAAUAUUUGGGGUGUUCAGGCUUCCUGAAGGUAAUACCCGGGUAUUAGGUUUUGGGGCUAGGGUAAGGUUUAAGGUUUUUGGCGAUAGGGUUAAAAUCACUGUCCAAAACCUUUGUAGGAACUCUUUUCCAACCUUUUGGAGUUAGUUAGACAAAAAAAAAAAAAGAUAAAUUAAAAAAAAAUAUUUGGGGUGUUCGGGCUUCCUGAAGGUAAUACCCGGGUAUUAGGUUAUGGGGCUAGGGUAAGGUUUAAGGUUUUUGGCGUAAGGGUUAAAAUCACUGUCCAAAACCUUUUUUAAGGAACAUGUUUCCAGACCUUUGGGAGUUAGUUAGACAAAAAAAAAAGAAAAAGAAAAAAAAAUAUUUGGGGUGUUCGGGUUUCCUGAAGGUAAUACCCGGGUAUUAGGUUAGGGGCUAAGGUAAGGUUUAAGGUUUUUGGCGUGAGGGUUAAAAUCACUGUCCAAAACCUUUGUAGGAACUCUUUUCCUACCUUUUGGAGUUAGUUAGACAAAAAAAAUAAAUAAAUGAAAAAAAAAUAUUUGGGGUGUUCGGGCUUCCUGAAGGUAAUACCCGGGUAUUAGGUUAUGGGGCUAGGUUAAGGUUUAAGGUUUUUGGCGUGAGGGUUAAAAUCACUUUCCAAAACCUUUGUAGGAAGUCUUUUCCAACCUUUUGGAGUUAGUUAGACAAAAAAAAAAAAGAUAAAUGAAAAAAAAAUAUUUGGGGUGUUCGGGCUUCCUGAAGGUAAUACCCGGGUAUUACGUUUUGGGGCUAGGGUAACUUUUAAGGUUUUUGGCGAUAGGGUUAAAAUCACUGUCCAAAACCUUUGUAGGAACUCUUUUCCAACCUUUUGGAGUUAGUUAGACAAAAAAAAAAAGAUAAAUUAAAAAAAAAUAUUUGGGGUGUUCGGGCUUCCUGAAGGUAAUACCCGGGUAUUAGGUUAUGGGGCUAGGGUAAGGUUUAAGGUUUUUGGCGUAAGGGUUAAAAUCACUGUCCAAAACCUUUUUAGGAACAUGUUUCAGACCUUUUGGAGAUGGUUACACCAAAAAAAAUGUAAAAUGAAAAAAAAAAAUAUUUGGGGUGUUCGGGCUUCCUGAAGGUAAUACCCGGGUAUUAGGUUAUGGGGCUAGGGUAAGGUUUAAGGUUUUUGGCGAUAGGGUUAAAAUCACUGUCCAAAACCUUUGUAGGAACUCUUUUCCAACCUUUUGGAAUUAGUUAGACAAAAAAAAAGAUAAAUGAAAAAAAAAUAUUUGGGGUGUUCGGGCUUCCUGAAGGUAAUACCCGGGUAUUAGGUUAUGGGGCUAGGGUUAGGUUUAAGGUUUUUGGCGUUAGGGUUAAAGUAACUGUCCAAUAUUUUUUAAGGAACAUGUUUCAGACCUUUGGGAGUUAGUUAGACAAAAAAAAAAGAAAAAGAAAAAAAAAUUAUUUGGGGUGUUCGGGUUUCCUGAAGGUAAUACCCGGGUAUUAGGUUUUGGGGCUAGGGUAACUUUUAAGGUUUUUGGCGAUAGGGUUAAAAUCACUGUCCAAAACCUUUGUAGGAACUCUUUUCCAACCUUUUGGAGUGAGUUAGACCACAAAAAAUGAAAAAUAAAAAAAAAAUAUUUGGGGUGUUCAGGCUUCCUGAAGGUAAUACCCGGGUAUUAGGUUUUGGGGCUAGGGUAACUUUUAAGGUUUUUGGCGAUAUGGUUAAAAUCACUGUCCAAAACCUUUGUAGGAACUCUUUUCCAACCUUUUGGAGUUAGUUAGACCACAAAAAAUGAAAAAAAAAAAUAUAUAUUUGGGGUGUUCAGGCUUCCUGAAGGUAAUACCCAGGUAUUAGGUUUUGGGGCUAGGGUAACUUUUAAGGUUUUUGGCGAUAGGGUUAAAAUCACUGUCCAAAACCUUUGUAGGAACUCUUUUCCAACCUUUUGGAGUUAGUUAGACAAAAAAAAAAAAGAUAAAUUAAAAAAAAAUAUUUGGGGUGUUCGGGCUUCCUGAAGGUAAUACCCGGGUAUUAGGUUAUGGGGCUAGGGUAAGGUUUAAGGUUUUUGGCGUAAGGGUUAAAAUCACUGUCCAAAACCUUUUUAGGAACAUGUUUCAGACCUUUUGGAGAUGGUUACACCAAAAAAAAAUGUAAAAUGAAAAAAAAAAUAUUUGGGGUGUUCGGGCUUCCUGAAGGUAAUACCCGGGUAUUAGGUUAUGGGGCUAGGGUAAGGUUUAAGGUUUUUGGUGAUAGGGUUAAAAUCACUGUCCAAAACCUUUGUAGGAACUCUUUUCCAACCUUUUGGAGUUAGUUAGACAAAAAAAAAAGAUAAAUGAAAAAAAAAAUAUUUGGGGUGUUCGGGCUUCCUGAAGGUAAUACCCGGGUAUUAGGUUAUGGGGCUAGGGUAAGGUUUAAGGUUUUUGGCGUAAGGGUUAAAGUAACUGUCCAAUAUUUUUUAAGGAACAUGUUUCAGACCUUUUGGAGUUGGUUACACCAAAAAAAAUGUAAAAUGAAAAAAAAAAUUUUUUGGGGUGUUCGGGCUUCCUGAAGGUAAUACCCGGGUAUUAGGUUUUGGGGCUAGAGUUAGGUUUAAGGUUUUUGGCGUUAGGGUUAAAGUAACUGUCCAAAACCUUUGUAGGAACUCUUUUCCAACCUUUUGGAGUUAGUUAGACCACAAAAAAUGAAAAAUAAAAAAAAAAUAUUUGGGGUGUUCGGGCUUCCUGAAGGUAAUACCCGGGUAUUAGGUUAUGGGCUAGGGUAAGGUUUAAGGUUUUUGGCGUGAGGGUUAAAAUCACUGUCCAAAACCUUUGUAGGAAGUCUUUUCCAACCUUUUGGAGUUAGUUAGACAAAAAAAAAAAAAAGAAAAAAAAAUAUUUGGGGUGUUCAGGCUUCCUGAAGGUAAUACCCGGGUAUUAGGUUUUGGGGCUAGGGUAAGGUUUAAGGUUUUUGGCGAUAUGGUUAAAAUCACUGUCCAAAACCUUUGUAGGAACUCUUUUCCAACCUUUUGGAGUUAGUUAGACAAAAAAAAAGAUAAAUUAAAAAAAAAUAUUUGGGGUGUUCGGGCUUCCUGAAGGUAAUACCCGGGUAUUAGGUUAUGGGGCUAGGGUAAGGUUUAAGGUUUUUGGAGUAAGGGUUAAAAUCACUGUCCAAAACCUUUUUAGGAACAUGUUUCCAGACCUUUUGGAGAUGGUUACACCAAAAAAAAAAAUUGUAAAAUGAAAAAAAAUAUAUUUGGGGUGUUCGGGCUUCCUGAAGGUAAUACCCGGGUAUUAGGUUAUGGGGCUAGGGUAAGGUUUAAGGUUUUUGGUGAUAGGGUUAAAAUCACUGUCCAAAACCUUUGUAGGAACUCUUUUCCAACCUUUUGGAGUUAGUUAGACAAAAAAAAAAGAUAAAUGAAAAAAAAAAUAUUUGGGGUGUUCGGGCUUCCUGAAGGUAAUACCCGGGUAUUAGGUUAUGGGGCUAGGGAAAGGUUUAAGGUUUUUGGCGUAAGGGUUAAAAUCACUGUCCAAAACCUUUUUAGGAACAUGUUUCAGACCUUUUGGAGUUGGUUACACCAAAAAAAAUGUAAAAUGAAAAAAAAAUUUUGGGGUGUUCGGGCUUCCUGAAGGUUAUACUAGGUUUCUGGGCUAGGGUAAUGUUUAAGGUUUUUGGAGUUAGGGUUAAAAUCAAUGUCCAAAACCUUUGUAGGAACUCUUUUCCAACCUUUGAGAGCAAGUUAGACCAAAACAAAAAGAAAAAUAAAAAAUAUAUAUUUGGGGUGUUCGGGCAUCCUGAAGGUAAUACCCGGGUAUUAGGUUAUGGGGCUAGGGUAAGGUUUAAGGUUUAAGGUUUUUCGGCGUGAGGGUUAAAAUCACUGUCCAAAACCUUUGUAGGAACUCUUUUCCAACCUUUUGGAGUUAGUUAGACCACAAAAAAUGAAAAAUAAAAAAAAAAUAUUUGGGGUGUUCGGGCUUCCUGAAGGUAAUACCCGGGUAUUAGGUUUUGGGGCUAGGGUAAGGUUUAAGGUUUUUGGCGAUAGGGUUAAAAUCACUGUCCAAAACCUUUGUAGGAACUCUUUUCCAACCUUUUGGAGUUAGUUAGACCAAAAAAAAUGAAUAAAUAAAAAAAUAUAUAUUUGGGGUGUUCGGGCUUCCUGAAGGUAAUACCCGGGUAUUAGGUUUUGGGGCUAGGGUAAGGUUUAAGGUUUUUGGCGUAAGGGUUAAAAUCACUGUCCAAAACCUUUUUAGGAACAUGUUUCAGACCUUUUGGAGAUGGUUACACCAAAAAAAUGUAAAAUGAAAAAAAAAAUAUUUGGGGUGUUCGGGCUUCCUGAAGGUAAUACCCGGGUAUUAGGUUAUGGGGCUAGGGUAAGGUUUAAGGUUUUUGGCGAUAGGGUUAAAAUCACUGUCCAAAACCUUUGUAGGAACUCUUUUCAAACCUUUUGGAGUUAGUUAGACAAAAAAAAAAGAUAAAUGAAAAAAAAAAUAUUUGGGGUGUUCGGGCUUCCUGAAGGUAAUAACCGGGUAUUAGGUUAUGGGGCUAGGGUAAGUUUUAAGGUUUUUGGCGUAAGGGUUAAAUAACUGUCCAAUAUUUUUUAAGGAACAUGUUUCAGACCUUUUGGAGAUGGUUACACCAAAAAAAAUGUAAAAUGAAAAAAAAUUUUUUUGGGGUGUUCGGGCUUCCUGAAGGUAAUACCCGGGUAUUAGGUUUUGGGGCUAGGGUAAGGUUUAAGGUUUUUGGCGUUAGGGUUAAAAUCACUGUCCAAAACCUUUUUAGGAACAUGUUUCAGACCUUUUGGAGUUAGUUAGACAAAAAAAAAAGAAAAAGAAAAAAAAUAUUUGGGGUGUUCGGGCUUCCUGAAGGUAAUACCCGGGUAUUAGGUUAGGGGCUAGGUAAGGUUUAAGGUUUUUGGCGUGAGGGUUAAAAUCACUGUCCAAAACCUUUGUAGGAACUCUUUUCCAACCUUUUGGAGUUAGUUAGACCACAAAAAAUGAAAAAAAAAAAAAAAAAUAUUUGGGGUGUUCGGGCUUCCUGAAGGUAAUACCCGGGUAUUAGGUUUUGGGGCUAGGGUAAGGUUUAAGGUUUUUGGCGAUAGGGUUAAAAUCACUGUCCAAAACCUUUGUAGGAAGUCUUUUCCUACCUUUUGGAGUUAGUUAGACAAAAAAAAAAAAAUAAAUGACAAAAAAAUAUUUGGGGUGUUCGGGCUUCCUGAAGGUAAUACCCGGGUAUUAGGUUAUGGGGCUAGGUUAAGGUUUAAGGUUUUUG
rnacentral:lncRNA from 1 species